CCCCAUGUCACAAACCCGCAGAGCAGGAUGGCAGGCCCAGCCCUGUGGGACAGGAGCCAACCUGCCAUUACAGGGUGAGAGGAGCUAUGCAUACCCGGUGAAAAGCUGCUGGGGGGACCCCAGUUCACAGAUGGAGGUCAGAGCACAGGGUGGAUUAAGUGACUCACCUAAGGUCACACAGGAAGUCUGUGGCUGAGGCAAGAAUUGAACCCAGGUCUAUGAAGCCCUAGGACAGUGCCCUGCCCACUAGACCAUCCUUCCUAGCCAACCAGCCCAUGCUAAACAAGACUUUGUACAGUCCAUUUCCCCCACACCUGUGGUGCACAUACAGCCGUGACAAAAGGCAAAGUCGGCCCAACCACCAUACAAUGAAGAGCAAGGCAUUUGAGUUUGUGAUCGCGAGCAAGCUAAAGCUGUGUGUUACAGAUGGAGAAGGUAGUCUCUGAAGUUGUGAUUUUUCUCAGGUCCUCUCUCCACGUGCUGAGUGAAGGCUGGACCUUGACUACACCUUGACCAAGACAUUUGGACCUUGACAAAAGCUAAAUGGACUCCCCCCAAUGUAAAGGGUUUUGCAAGGCAAGGGGGUACGGAUCAAAUUGCUGCUUUAACUCCAACUUGCCUGGGAAUUUUUAAACUAUUGCGUAAGCUUCCUGGCAGCCGUGCCCUGUUUGCAACAGCGGGAACGCCAGCAGGGGGCGAGCUUCCUCACAGCAGUGGCCUGUCAUUGCAGGCCUCUGCAGAGCCAGAGCAGGGGUGGCUGGCGAUAUUCAGAACAAGCCGAGAGGGGCAGUUUGCCUCUUCGCGUGGCUAGGGCAGCUCUGCUACGAGGAACAAGCGAUGGCCUUUAGCCGCUAACAGCGGCUGGUCAUUUCGCCUCUCUGCAGAGGAGCCACUGCAGGGUGCUAUUACUCUCACACAUACCCCCGCCACACCCUACACAAUACUCAGCUGGGUCCUGAUAAGCCUCUGAACCAUUUAGGUGCUUAACCCAAUCUCUAGUUCCUGCUGAACAUUCUCCCAUCGCCAGCCAAAGGAUCCGGACAACAGCAAAUGCUCUGGAUCUCCUCUCCGCUGCUUGCAGCUGCUGCAAUGGCCUUCCAUCGACACAUGCCAGCAAGCGAGCAGAUGGCUGUGCAGACCUUUGAACUGCAUGAAUAAUCAAAGCUGCCUGUUCCUCUCUCUCCCACGCGGCAGCAUGGCCAGGCAAUUGACCCAGGUCCCCAGAGAGCAUCACUGCAGGCCAAGAUGUGGAGCUCCUGCUGUUUUACUAAUGACAGCUAUGCUGAAUCCCAGAAAGCCAUGCUGCUUCUAACUCC